AGUGGGGGAUAACGUAGCGAAAGUUACGCUAAUACCGCAUAUGCCCUGAGGGGGAAAGGAGGGGAUCGUAAGACCUUUCGCUUUCGGAGUGGCUGAUAUCGGAUUAGCUAGUAGGUGAGGUAAAGGCUCACCUAGGCGACGAUCCGUAGCUGGUCUGAGAGGACGACCAGCCACACUGGGACUGAGACACGGCCCAGACUCCUACGGGAGGCAGCAGUGGGGAAUUUUGGACAAUGGGCGCAAGCCUGAUCCAGCCAUGCCGCGUGAGUGAAGAAGGCCUUCGGGUUGUAAAGCUCUUUCGGACGGAAAGAAAUCCUACCCGCCAAUACCGGGUGGGGAUGACGGUACCGUAAGAAGAAGCACCGGCUAACUACGUGCCAGCAGCCGCGGUAAUACGUAGGGUGCGAGCGUUAAUCGGAAUUACUGGGCGUAAAGCGUGCGCAGGCGGUUUGGUAAGACAGACGUGAAAUCCCCGGGCUUAACCUGGGAACUGCGUUUGUGACUGCCAGACUAGAGUGUAGCAGAGGGGGGUAGAAUUCCA
rnacentral:rRNA from 1 species